UACGAAGGGGGCUAGCGUUGUUCGGAAUUACUGGGCGUAAAGGGCGCGUAGGCGGUGUGUCAAGUCAGGCGUGAAAGCCCCGGGCUCAACCUGGGAACCGCGCUUGAGACUGGCACGCUCGAGUUCGGGAGAGGAUGGUGGAAUUCCCCAGUGUAGAGGUGAAAUUCGUAGAUAUUGGGAAGAACACCGAUGGCGAAGGCAGCCAUCUGGACCGACACUGACGCUGAGGCGCGAAAGCGUGGGGAGCAAACAGG
rnacentral:rRNA from 1 species